rnacentral:rRNA from 1 species
UACGUAGGGUGCAAGCGUUAAUCGGAAUUACUGGGCGUAAAGCGUGCGUAGGCGGUUUGUUAAGUCUGUUGUGAAAUCCCCGAGCUCAACUUGGGAAUUGCAAUGGAUACUGGCAGGCUGGAGUAUGGUAGAGGAAGGUGGAAUUCCCGGUGUAGCAGUGAAAUGCGUAGAGAUCGGGAGGAACACCAGUGGCGAAGGCGGCCUUCUGGACCAAUACUGACGCUCAUGCACGAAAGCGUGGGGAGCAAACAGG